rnacentral:rRNA from 1 species
UGGGGAAUCUUGCGCAAUGGGCGAAAGCCUGACGCAGCGACGCCGCGUGGGGGAUGAAGCAUCUCGGUGUGUAAACCCCUUUCGACCCGGAAGAAUGUCCCGCAAGGGAUUGACGGUACGGGUAUAAGAAGCCCCGGCUAACUACGUGCCAGCAGCCGCGGUAAGACGUAGGGGGCCAGCGUUGCUCGGAAUUACUGGGCGUAAAGGGUUCGUAGGCGGUGCGGCAAGUCGGAAGUGAAAUCUCCAGGCUCAACUUGGAGGCUGCUCCCGAAACUGCCGCGCUAGAGUGCGGGAGAGGCCAGUGGAAUUGCAGGUGUAGCGGUGAAAUGCGUAGAUAUCUGCAGGAACACCCGUGGCGAAGGCGGCUGGCUGGACCGCAACUGACGCUGAGGAACGAAAGCUAGGGGAGCAAACAG